rnacentral:rRNA from 1 species
GACGAACGCUGGCGGCGUGCUUAACACAUGCAAGUCGAACGAAGAGCGAUGGAAGCUUGCUUCUAUCAAUCUUAGUGGCGAACGGGUGAGUAACGCGUAAUCAACCUGCCCUUCAGAGGGGGACAACAGUUGGAAACGACUGCUAAUACCGCAUACGAUCUAAUCUCGGCAUCGAGGAUAGAUGAAAGGUGGCCUCUACAUGUAAGCUAUCACUGAAGGAGGGGAUUGCGUCUGAUUAGCUAGUUGGGGGGGUAACGGCCCACCAAGGCGAUGAUCGGUAGCCGGUCUGAGAGGAGGAACGGCCACAUUGGGACUGAGACACGGCCCAGACUCCUACGGGAGGCAGCAGUGGGGCAUCUUCCGCAAUGGACGAAAGGCUGACGGAGCAACGCCGCGUGAGUGAUGACGGGCUUCGGGUUGUAAAGCUCUGUUAAUCGGGACGAAAGGCCUUCUUGCGAAUAGUGAGAAGGAUUGACGGUACCGGAAUAGAAAGCCACGGCUAACUACGUG